rnacentral:rRNA from 1 species
GAUGAACGCUGGCGGCGUGCUUAACACAUGCAAGUCGAACGAAGCACUUUUAAUUCUUCGGAAGAGAAAGUGACUGAGUGGCGGACGGGUGAGUAACGCGUGGGUAACCUGCCUUAUACAGGGGGAUAACAGUUAGAAAUGACUGCUAAUACCGCAUAAGCCGAUAGAGUCGCAUGACUUAGUCGGAAAAGAUUUAUCGGUAUAAGAUGGACCCGCGUCUGAUUAGCUAAUUGGUGAGGUAAUGGCCAACCAAGGCGACGAUCAGUAGCCGGCUUGAGAGAGUGAACGGCCACAUUGGGACUGAGACACGGCCCAAACUCCUACGGGAGGCAGCAGUGGGGAAUAUUGCACAAUGGGGGAAACCCUGAUGCAGCAACGCCGCGUGAAGGAAGAAGUAUUUCGGUAUGUAAACUUCUAUCAGCAGGGUAGAAAAUGACGGUACCUGACUAAGAAGCCCCGGCUAACUACGUGCCAGCCGCCGCCGUAA